GGAUCCUUCAGGAAGGGCUCUGGCUGGUGCAUUCCUUGGGAUAAACUCUCCUUUGCUUACCAAAUAGACUGGCCUGAGGUCAGAGGUGCCACUGGAGAGCCGGGUCCCCUGAGACAUGGAGAGGUCACAAGGCUGACAGAUGGGGGUGCAGCUGUGCCAUCACUACACCCUGAAGAAUUCCCUGCACUGCCUGUCUCAGUGCCUCCAUCAUUAGCAGGAGGAAUCCUGUUGACAAGACAAUUUUUAUUCAGUAGUGUACAGUUUUUAAAAACUUUUUAAACCUCACAGGUACAUUAUAUAGGAGUCAGAGGCUACUCAGCUCUACAUGUAGACAUGGGGAUCAUUUGGGAGACGUCUGGAUAAGAACUAGAUUCCAGGGAUAACUCAAUUGAGACUUUAACUCCACUUCCAUCAAAGCCAAAGACCGAUGCGAGCUGCCAUGAGCCACCAGACCGUGACAAGAGUGAAAUGAGAUGUCACCUGAGUUCCUGGAAGAUGACUAGUUCCAGAAAGAAUGUGACUCUUCCUCCUCCCAUUAGCCUAUCUCUUCCUCAUUCAUCCUACCCCCCAUCUGUGACUUCCUGACCCAUCACUGUGGUGAGAGGUUCACUGGACAGGAGGCCUCUGCCUUGGCUGGAGCGAGGGGGAGAGAGAUCGCGCAGGAUGACAGCCUUUCUUUAAAUGGGAGUUGCAGACCCAGAGGACAAAGAAAACUGGCUGAAGACCAUGGUGGUCUUGACUACUGUCUGAGGGAAUUUCAGUCCACUUGGCUGCUCACUGAAUCCUCAGCUGAUUCCCCUUCCAUCUUACCAUCUGUUUCCUCCUCCCCUCCAGCGUGGACACCCUGGCACUUUGUGAGGAAAUCCUCUCGAAGACACUGCUGCUGAAUGGUGUCUCACACAUGCUCCCCAGAUGAUUACGGUGUCCGCAAAGGGACAAAGGGUGUGAGUCAAUACACACAUAGCCAUUGCUUCAACCAUCCCAUCAAUAGCUCUUCAUUUCUUGAACUACCUUCCUUUUCCAAAGAGGUAAUUGCUGAGAUCAGUCAGAAAGGCUUUCUGAGAAGAUUGGCUUGGAUUUCUGGGUCUGUUCCAGUCGAUUCAAGAUGAACUGGCUUGUAGCGAUGAAGCACUCAACGAAGUUCACGAAACUGGCCUCAGCCCGACAGUCCAACUUUGGCCCAGGUUUGUCCAUGCACUGUUCCAACAAAGUUCAGUCAUCUGGUGCACCAGCUGCUGGAAGCUCUGUGUCUGAGUCUACACUUCGAUGAAAUGUUGCAACUGCAGGUCCACUGUGCCCAGACCCACUGCAGAAAACCAGGAGCAGGAAUCCAUCCCAGCUCAGCCACGCUUGACAAAACAGACUCCGCACCAACUCGCCGAUCUUCACGUGUCUCUAUAAGG
rnacentral:lncRNA from 1 species